rnacentral:rRNA from 1 species
UACGGAGGGUGCGAGCGUUGUCCGGAAUCACUGGGCGUAAAGGGCGCGUAGGCGGCGCGGGAAGUCGGCGGUGAAAGCCCGGGGCUCAACCCCGGGUCGGCCGUCGAGACUCCCGGGCUCGAGCACACUAGAGGCGGGUGGAAUUCCGGGUGUAGCGGUGGAAUGCGUAGAGAUCCGGAAGAACACCGGUGGCGAAGGCGGCCCGCUGGGGUGUGGCUGACGCUGAGGCGCGACAGCGUGGGGAGCAAACAGG